CCUACGGGUGGCAGCAGUAGGGAAUCUUCCACAAUGGGCGAAAGUCUGAUGGAGCAACGCCGCGUGAGUGAAGAAGGUUUUCGGAUCGUAAAACCCUGUUGUUAGAGAAGAAAGUUAGUGAGAGUAACUGUCCACUUUUCGACGGUAUCUACUCAGAAAGUCACGGCUAACUACGUGCCAGCAGCCGCGGUAAUACGUAGGUGGCAAGCGUUGUCCGGAUUUAUUGGGCGUAAAGGGAGCGCAGGCGGUCGUAGAAGUCUGAUGUGAAAGCCUUCGGCUUAACCGGAGAAUUGCAUUGGAAACUGGGAGACUUGAGUGCAGAAGAGGAGAGUGGAACUCCAUGUGUAGCGGUGAAAUGCGUAGAUAUAUGGAAGAACACCAGUGGCGAAGGCGGCUCUCUGGUCUGUAACUGACGCUGAGGUUCGAAAGCGUGGGUAGCAAACAGGAUUAGAUACCCUUGUAGUC
rnacentral:rRNA from 1 species